rnacentral:rRNA from 1 species
CCUACGGGUGGCUGCAGUGGGGAAUAUUGGACAAUGGGCGAAAGCCUGAUCCAGCCAUGCCGCGUGUGUGAAGAAGGCCUUCGGGUUGUAAAGCACUUUCAGUGGGGAAGAAAGCCUUGGGGCUAAUACCCUCGAGGAAGGACAUCACCCACAGAAGAAGCACCGGCUAACUCCGUGCCAGCAGCCGCGGUAAUACGGAGGGUGCGAGCGUUAAUCGCAAUUACUGGGCGUAAAGCGCGCGUAGGCGGUCUGAUAAGCCGGUUGUGAAAGCCCCGGGCUCAACCUGGGAACGGCAUCCGGAACUGUCAGGCUAGAGUGCAGGAGAGGAAGGUAGAAUUCCCGGUGUAGCGGUGAAAUGCGUAGAGAUCGGGAGGAAUACCAGUGGCGAAGGCGGCCUUCUGGACUGACACUGACGCUGAGGUGCGAAAGCGUGGGUAGCAAACAGGAUUAGAUACCCCAGUCGUC